CAUGACUGGUGAUGCAUUUGCUCAGAAUUAUCAUGUGAAGGACUGAAUGAGAAAAAAACUGAAAAAAAGAAAAAGUGUGUCUGAAACUCUGAAGUGUGAUUGUUAGCUCUGACAUUCAGUCAGGCCUAAGACAGAAAUCAAGAGAUGGCAACCACCAAAGACACAUCAGUGAACAAUGGCAACCCAGCUGAAACGCAAGAUUUAGGUGAACAAUUGCAGCUCUUAAGUCCCUCGGAUGGAAGAUCAUAAAUUGUAUUGAGUGCUACUUUGUAGUGGAAAGGCAGAGUAGAAAGAAAGAAAGAAAGAAAGAAAGAAAGAAAGAAAGAAAGAAAGAAAGAAAGAAAGAAAGAAAGAAAGAAAGAAAGAAAGACCUUGAGGCAUGUUCAACAGUAGCCCUAUCCAGAAGCUCAACCUGGAAAUGAAAGAAACAGAUGUAGUGAGGGAGGUCAGAAUGACCCUUCAGGAGAGACCAGCAACACCUUGGGAUCUUCUUGCUGCAAAAACAUAUCAGUAAGCACGAUGGUCCAAAAACAUCCAUUAGCUGUCACACGGGUCCUUGUUUUCCUUGUUCUCCUCAUCCUCAUCCUCAUCAUUGCCCUCAUAAUAGUUGCACUCAGGCAUGAGCAGGGAUGUAGACCUGAGCACCCUCAUGUUCCCUCUGCUCCUUGUGAUCCAUGCCCUGGAAACGACUGGAUUUUUUCUCUAGGGAAAUGCUACUUUUUUUCCGAGGAAGAAAAAGACUGGAAUUCAAGUAAAGCCUUCUGCUUGUCACAUAAUAGCUCACUAGCUAAGAUUGAAAAAGAACGACCUAAAGAAAAGGCUUUUUUGAAACAUCAAAUAGGCAAAGAAGCCUUUUGGAUAGGUCUCACGAGGCGGAAUGAUAAAAGCUGGGAAUGGGAGGAUGGAGAAGAUGCAAGGUUGGAUGUCAUCGGAGAUGGGUCAUCCUGUGCUUGUCUGAAUGAUCCCAAAGACAUAGAAGCCAGUUCUUCAAAAUGCAGCCAAAAACAUCGUUGGAUCUGCAUAUCUGAACCACUUAAAAAUACAAAAGCAAUUUUGAAGAAGGAUGGAGUGUAGCAAGAGCACCAUUCUAAAGUUGGUGCUGUUGAAUGCCAGGUCUGUGUCCAACAAGGCCCAGGUGAUUUACGACCUUAUCCUGGAGGAGGACACAGACCUGGCAUGCAUAACCGAGACAUGGAUUACCGGGGAGGGAGGUCCCCCUCGGCUCUCAUCUGCCCGCCCAGUUAUGCCAUCCAGCACCAAGGUAGACUGGAGGGGCAGGGGGGGAGUAAC